UUCAAGACUUUGUUAUAACAUAUAUGACAUUUGGCUGACAUAUGACAAUAUUAUUAAUAUUGUCAUAUGUCAGCCAAAUGUCAUAUAUGUUAUAACAAAGUCUUGAA